UGGACCAGGGCUCUUCCUGCUGGCU
rnacentral:miRNA from 1 species